UUUCCGGUUGAUCCCGCCGGACCUGACUGCUAUCGGAUUGAUACUAAGCCAUGCGAGUCUUUGCAGUAAUGCAAGGCAUACGGCUCAGUAACACGUAGUCAACCUACCCUAUGGACGAGAAUAAUCUCGGGAAACUGAGCAUAAUUCUUGAUAGAUCAUAAUGCCUGGAAUGGUUUAUGGUUAAAAUGAUUCGUCGCCAUAGGAUGGGACUGCGGCCUAUCAGCUUGUUGGUGAGGUAAUGGCCCACCAAGGCGAUUACAGGUACGGGCUCUGAGAGGAGAAGCCCGGAGAUGGGUACUGAGACACGGACCCAGGCCCUAUGGGGCGCAGCAGGCGAGAAAACUUUGCAAUGUGCGAAAGCACGACAAGGUUAAUCCGAGUGAUUUCUGCUAAAGAAAUCUUUUGCCAGUCGUAAAACCGCUGGUGAAUAAGGGGUGGGCAAGUUCUGGUGUCAGCCGCCGCGGUAAAACCAGCACCUCAAGUGGUCAGGAUGAUUAUUGGGCCUAAAGCAUCCGUAGCCUGCUUUGUAAGUUUUCGGUUAAAUCCAUGUGCUCAACGCAUGGGCUGCCGAAAAUACUGCAUAGCUAGGGAGUGGGAGAGGUAGACGGUACUCAGUAGGUAGGGGUAAAAUCCUUUGAUCUAUUGAUGACCACCUGUGGCGAAGGCGGUCUACCAGAACACGUUCGACGGUGAGGGAUGAAAGCUGGGGGAGCAAACCGGAUUAGAUACCCGGGUAGUCCCAGCUGUAAACGAUGCAGACUCGAUGAUGCAUUGGCAUAAUAGCCAUUGCAGUGUCGCAGGGAAGCCGUUAAGUCUGCCGCCUGGGAAGUACGUACGCAAGUAUGAAACUUAAAGGAAUUGGCGGGGGAGCACCACAAGGGGUGAAGCCUGCGGUUCAAUUGGAGUCAACGCCGGA
rnacentral:rRNA from 1 species